rnacentral:rRNA from 1 species
ACCAAUGCGGGCCUCGGUCCGCUUGCUUGGUGAUUCAUGAUAACUUUUCGAAUCGCAUGGCCUUGCGCCGGCGAUGUUUCAUUCAAAUUUCUGCCCUAUCAACUGUCGAUGGUAAGGUAGUGGCUUACCAUGGUUGCAACGGGUGACGGAGAAUUAGGGUUCGAUUCCGGAGAGGGAGCCUGAGAAACGGCUACCACAUCUAAGGAAGGCAGCAGGCACGAAAAUUACCCAAUCCCGAUUCGGGGAGGUAGUGACAAGAAAUAACGGUACGGGGCCUUUAUAGGUCUCGCAAUCGGAAUGAGAACAAUUUAAAUCCUUUAACGAGGAUCAAUUGGAGGGCAAGUCUGGUGCCAGCAGCCGCGGUAAUUCCAGCUCCAAUAGCGUAUAUUAAAGUUGUUGCAGUUAAAAAGCUCGUAGUUGGAUUUCGGAGCGGGCCCGUUGGUCCACCGCAAGGUGAGCUACUGGCGGGUCUGUUCUUCUUCGCAAAGACUGCAGGUGCACUUCGCUGUGUGCUUGUCGGAUUUGUGACGUUUACUUUGAAAAAAUUAGAGUGUUCAAAGCAGGCUUUCGCUUGAAUACAUGAGCAUGGAAUAAUGGAAUAGGACUUUGGUUCUAUUUUGUUGGUUUCUAGGACCGAAGUAAUGAUUAAGAGGGACAAACGGGGGCAUCUGUAUUUCGUUGUCAGAGGUGAAAUUCUUGGAUUUGCGAAAGACAAACAACUGCGAAAGCACUUGCCAAGAGUGUUUUCAUUAAUCAAGAACGAAAGUUAGAGGAUCGAAGACGAUCAGAUACCGUCCUAGUUCUAACCAUAAACGAUGUCGACUAGGGAUCGGCGGGCGUUAUUUUAUGACCCCGUCGGCACCUUACGGGAAACCAAAGUUUUUGGAUUCCGGGGGUAGUAUGGUUGCAAAGAUGACAGUAAAAUCACAGUCAUCGAUAGAUGACAGUAAAAUCACAGUCAUCGAUAUGACUUGUCCGUAUGAGAAAUCAGAAGGACACCUGAUCCAAUGUGAAAGUGCGAAAGUAACUAAAUACGAGCCACUCAAGCUAGAUAAGUAUUGGACUCGAGAACUCGAGGGAGCAAAUGGUAUUGUUGCUGAAAAGGUAGAGCUGAUGGGAUUGGCAAUAGGGGCGAUCGGCACAAUCAUGCGUAGUACCCUUCGGAAACUCUAUGAGUUAAAGUCGGGCAGGAUCGUAAGACGUCUACAAAUGAUUGCUUGUAAUAAUAGCGCCCAAAUUAUAAAGGGUCACCUGUCAAGGGCGACUCGGAGGAAUUUGCGGUGAUAAAUGCCAAAAGUUGCUUGGGCUAAAUGAUACGUACGCUAGAAAAAGCG